AUAUUACUCUCUUCAUUCGAAAUUACUUGUCUCGAAAAUGGAUGUAUGUAGAACUAAAAUACGUCUAGAUACAUCCAUUUCCGCGACAAGUAAUUCCGAACGGAGGGAGUACUCG
rnacentral:pre_miRNA from 1 species